CAUAAUAAUUAUCUGAAUUAAGAAAAUCCCUUUGGAAUUCGAUGUUUAUAAUAUUUGAGUAAACGUAAACACUUCAGUUUUGUAUCACAUUUUUCAAAUUCCAGCUAAAAUCAUCACUAUUGCAUUGCGAGCAUUCUUCUUCCUUAUCUGAUUUAGGCACUCAAAAUGCUGGUAUAAAUAUUGCCACUCUGACAAAUAUAUUCAUUCACAUUUUGUCUAAGCUUCUGAGCCAUCGAAUCAAAACUACUCUAAAAUGUUCAAAUUUGUCGUGCUGCUUUCAGCUGCUCUUGCCUUUGCUGCUUCUGCCAGCCUUAGGGUAAACCCUGAUGAACUCCACGUCAUCUGGGACACCAUUGAGAAGGACAUCCGAGUGCGUCAACAAGAAGCCGAGUUGGAAAUCCGCAACCUUUUGGAGCCUCUUCGUAUCUUGGUUGAUGAUGCCAGGGAAAA